AUGCAGAAGCAGCAGCUCCGUUCCUCAUGCAAGGAGUGCAGCAACGGAUUCUCCAUGCGUCUCCUUGGCUAUGCUGCUCUUGUGGUGGUGGUGCUGCUGCUGUCCAUGGCCUCUACAGCCAGUUCUUGCACGGAGGGGGAGAAGGGCUCCCUCCUGCAGUUCCUGGCUGGGCUAUCGCGGGACGGCGGCCUUGCAGCGUCAUGGAAGCGGGACAGCACCGACUGCUGCGUGUGGGAAGGGAUCGCCUGUGGUGCGGAUGGGUCAGUGACAGACGUCUCGCUGGCUUCGAGGGGCCUUGAGGGGCGCGUAUCGCCGUCGCUGGGCAACCUCACCGGGCUGCUGCGCCUCAACCUGUCCCACAACUCGCUGUCGGGUGGCCUGCCGCUGGAGCUCGUGUCGUCCAGUAGCAUCAUCGUCCUUGAUGUCAGCUUCAACCGCCUCAGAGGAGACAUGCAAGAGCUGCCAUCUUCAACCCCUGCACAGCCUCUGCAGGUAUUGAACAUCUCGAGCAACUUGUUCACAGGAGGGUUUCCAUCGACGUGGCUAGUGAUGAACAACCUGGUCGCGCUCAACGCCAGCAACAACAGCUUCAGUGGGCAAAUACCGAGUCAUUUCUGCAGCAGCUCGUCAUUGUUAGCUGUGGUUGAGCUCUGUUACAACCAAUUUACAGGCAGCAUCCCUCCAGGACUUGGCAACUGCUCCAUGCUCAGAGUGCUCAAGGCUGGUCACAACAACCUCAGGGGGGCUCUCCCCAAUGAACUCUUUGAUGCUUCCCUACUGGAGUACCUCUCGCUUCCGGACAAUAAUUUAGAUGGAAAGCUCGAUGGCGCACAGAUAAUCAAGCUCAGAAAUCUGGCUAACCUAAAUCUUGGAGGAAACAAUUUCAGCGGCAAGAUUCCAGACUCAAUAGGCCAGCUCAAGAAAUUAGAAGAAUUGCAUCUGGACCACAACAUGAUGUCAGGGCAGCUGCCGUCAGCUCUGAGCAACUGCACAAAUCUCAUAACAGUUGACCUCAAGAGCAACCACUUCAACGGAGUACUUUCCAAGGUCAACUUCUCAAGCCUGCUCAAUCUGAAGAAUUUAGAUCUUCUGUACAACAACUUCACCGGCACAAUUCCAGAAAGCAUAUACUCUUGCAGCAAGCUGGCUGCACUGCGGAUAUCUGGCAACAACUUGCAUGGGCAGCUUUCACCAAGAAUAGCCAGUUUGAAAUCCCUUACUUUCCUAUCACUUGGUUUCAACAAUUUUACAAAUAUCACAAACACACUCCGGAUACUCAAGAAUUGUAGGAACCUCACUUCCCUACUUAUCGGGGGGACCAACUUCAAGAGUGAGUCCAUGCCAGAAUAUGAAAUAGUUGAUGGUUUUCAGAAUCUUCAGGUUCUUUCAAUAGCUAGUUCCUCAUUGUCUGGAAACAUACCCCUUUGGCUAUCAAAGCUGGCAAAGCUGGAGAUGUUAUUUUUGCAAGAUAACCAACUCAGUGGGCCAAUACCAGGCUGGAUCAAAAGCCUAAAGUUACUGUUCCAUCUAGAUAUAUCAAAUAAUAACAUUACAGGUGAAAUUCCAACAGCCUUAAUGGAGAUGCCAAUGCUAAAUUCAGAUAAGAUUGCGCCCCGUUUGGACCCAAGAGCCUUUGAACUUCCUGUCUAUGCAACUCCAUCACGUCAAUAUCGGAUAACCAGUGCUUUCCCAAAAGUAUUGAAUCUAGGAAAUAAUAAGUUCACCGGUGUGAUCCCUGAGGAGAUUGGUCAGUUGAACUCGCUUGUUAUACUGAACUUCAGUUCAAAUAGCUUAUCAGGAGAGAUACCACGGCAGCUCUGCAACCUGAUAAAUCUGCGGGUGCUGGACUUAUCUAGCAAUCAUCUCACAGGUAUAAUCCCAUCGGCAAUGAAGAACCUGCACUUCCUUUCAGCAUUCAACAUUUCCCACAAUGACCUCGAAGGAAAAAUUCCAGAUGGAGUCCAGCUAAGUACAUUCUCAAAUUCUAGCUUUGAGGGGAAUCCAAAGUUGUGUGGCCAUAUUCUUCAUCGCAGUUGUGAUUCAACUGAAGGACCUUCGGGCUUCAGAAAACACUGGAGCAAGAAAUCCAUUAUGGAAAUUACAUUCGGUGUGUUCUUUGGAGGAACUGCUAUUCUUUUUGUGCUUGGGGGUCUCCUUGCAACAUUCAAGCAUACCAGUUUCAUAACCAAAAACAGGAUCAGCAAUAACGGAGAUGUGGAAGCUAUUUCAAUCGAGAUUGAUUCAGAAGAAUCAUUAGUGAUAGUGCCACGAGGAAAGGGAGAAGAAAGUAACCUCACAUUCGCUGACAUUGUGAAGGCUACAAAUAACUUUCACCAGGAGAACAUCAUCGGGUGCGGAGGUUAUGGACUGGUCUAUAAGGCUGAUUUACCUGAUGGCCUCAAACUGGCUAUCAAGAAGCUUAAUGAUGACAUGUGUCUGAUGAACAGAGAAUUCACUGCAGAGGUUGAUGCACUCUCAAUGGCACAGCACGACAACCUUGUACCGCUCUGGGGUUAUGGCAUACAGGGAGAUUCAAGAUUCCUCAUAUAUCCCUACAUGGAGAAUGGCAGCCUGGACGACUGGCUUCACAAUGGGGAUGGUGGUGCAAGUUCAUUUCUUGACUGGCCAACACGGCUGAAGAUCGCACAAGGAGCAAGCCAGGGCCUUUCUUAUAUCCAUGGUGUCUGCAAGCCUCACAUUGUCCACCGUGACAUAAAGUCCAGCAACAUCCUGCUUGACAAAGAAUUCAAAGCUUAUAUUGCAGAUUUUGGGCUCUCCAGGUUGAUUGACAGUCAAACCCAUUUCACAACUGAGCUAGUUGGCACUCCGGGCUACAUCCCACCUGAGUACGGACAAGGAUGGGUUGCUACACUGAGAGGUGACAUGUACAGUUUUGGCAUGGUCCUACUUGAGCUGCUCACUGGAAGGCGGCCUGUCCUGGUCUUGUCUUCAUCAAAAGAACUAGUGAACUGGGUACAGGAGAUGAAAUCAGAAGGGAGGCAGCUUGAGGUCCUGGAUCCUACACUCCGGGGCACAGGGUAUGAAGAGCAGAUGUUGAAGGUGCUCGAAGCCGCUUGCAAGUGUGUACACUAUAAUCCUUUCGUGAGGCCAACCAUACAGGAGAUAGUCUCCUUCCUUGAAAGUAUAGACGCCAAGCUGCAGACACGAAAUUCAGUUAAGAUAGAAAGUGGUUAG
rnacentral:rRNA from 1 species